GGCAAAGAUGAAGAGUGCUUUGAAUUCUGACACCUCUUGUAUGAGAAGAGCCUUUUGAAUAAAAAGGCUCUUCGUUGAGCACAGAUAGCAACUCUCUGAGCC